CUGAUUCAGAGUGAUCCUGAAACAGGAGAAAGGAGCAGAAAUUUUUCCAUGGAACUUCCUCCAAUGUUCAUUUCCUGUCUGUCAAGGUCAGUUCACAAGGACUAGAUCCCUCAUGCUUUAAAGUCGUAUCAUUCAUACACUGGUAGCCAUUCAGGAAGCCAGAUCCCACUCCUGAUACUGUGGCAUUGCAUCUAAACCUGGAAGCAAAGGGAAAGCCUAGGGUCAAUAGCUUUAACAUCUGGGCGAUGUGGACCACGUGGCCCUGCGCUUCAUGUCAGCCUCCAGCCAGCCUGUGGACUAGGUAGUUCAUCAGGACUAAGUAGCACCUUCAGAAGGAAGGAGGCAGUUGAAGGAAUCCAAAGAUGUACCACAGGUCUUUGUCCUGUGGAUUUUUUUUUUUUUUUUUUUUUGGUUUCUAUCUUAAGAAUGCUGUUUUUCACAAAGUAGAAUGUGAUCAUAAUAUAAGGAGAGUGUUCAAAAGAUAUUGGGCAGCCACUCAUGACAGAAUCUAUUGUUAUCUGACACAUCUGGCCACCUAGUUAAUGAACAUCUCCCAUGUGAUCCACUCCACAGCCUCCUAGAAAUCAUCACUUUUUUUUUUCUAGAAAUUGUCACAGUUUAAGCUUCAGGAGGGUAGUACUCAAUGGUUUUGAUUACCAUUGUAUACUCAGGAACUAAUACAAUGCCCAGCAUCGUGUAAGUGUGGAUAAAUAUUUGUUGAUUGGAUGGAUAGAGGAAUGACUAAAUGAAUACCAGAUAGCAUAUGAUAACAAUGAUAUAGGUGGUUAUCACAGAGAUUAAAACACUCUUCAAUCACUUGGGGAAUGUUCAAAAAAGAGAAAAAAAAAACUUUCUUGGUUGGGCCUUGGCAUAUAGUUUUAAUAAGUAAAGCAAAGAGAAUAGGGACACUCCAGGCAGAAAAGCCAUGCAAGGAAAGACAAAUGUAUGCAAAUGCUCUUAGUGUGUUCAUAAGAUGGUGGAAAAACCAAUGCUGAAUCAAAUUUCUGGUAAGCUUGUUCCUAUAUAUGUGUCUAUGUAUUUGUAAAUGUGUGUGUGUGCAUGUUUAUGGAUUUCUGCUGAUCUCUCAUUAUUCUUCUGACUGGCCCACAAAACAUUGUGCUGGAGAGAAUGAUGCCUUAAUUCUAUCACAUCUGAACCUUGCCUGCGAGACAUUUUUCUUGAGUGACCUGGGAAGCUAAACUCUCUUAAUGAGAUUAUUGGCAUUUUCUGUUUCAAACCAAAAUAGGACCGAUUGGCCUGCACUAGCAAGUGCUUUGCAAUCUACACCAUCUAUGUUGUGGUCAUUGCUAAAGUAUUAGAGCUAACCCAGGAGACAGGAAGAGGCAUUAGAAUUCUUUCUGCUCUAGCCCUGUUUAGAGAUAUAGCCCAAGAUAAAGAAAACAGUGCAUUUUUUUUUUCUUUAUCAGAAUACAUCUUCCCUGUAGAGCUGAGGUUUUUAAAGAAAAGCCAAAAGGAACUUGUUGGUCACUCAGGGUGACUAUUCUCCUAGCACUCAAUGCUAGUUAAAUCAAAGGACUUUAGAUUUAACCCAUUUGGCCUCAGCUAUUUGCUUGUUAAUGUGAUGGGUGUGGGGAAGAGAAUCCUAGAAACCUUAAUCCCAUUUACCAAAAUACCAAAGCAAUCUGCACCUUAUAUCACAUAGCUAAUUAUGUCUGAGGUAAGCUUAGGAAAUUUAGUCAUUUGUUGAGGGUUGUUUUUCCCAUAACAAAGUCUCCAAAUAGAAUUAUC
rnacentral:lncRNA from 1 species